rnacentral:rRNA from 1 species
GCUUAAAGGGGCCGUAGCCGGUUCUGUAAAUCUCAUGUGAAAUCAUUAGGCCUAACCUAAUGGUGUGCAUAAGACACUGCAGAACUAGAGACUGGGAGGAGUCAGAGGUAUUUCCGGGGGAGCGGUAAAACAUACUCACUAGUGUUCUUAGUUGUAAAACACUAGGAGUGUUUACAGUGCUAUAAUCCCGGAAGGACCACCAGUGGCGAAGGCGUCUGACUAGAACAGGUCUGACGGUGAGGGACGAAAGCUAGGGGAGCGAACCGGAUUAGAUACCCGGGUAGUCCUAGCCGUAAACGCUGCGAGUUAGGUGUUGCGCAUUCUUCGGGAAUGCGCAGUGUCGUAAUGAAGAUGUUAAACUCGCCGCUUGGGGAGUACGGUCGCAAGGCUGAAACUUAAAGGAAUAGGCGGGGGAGCACUACAAGGGGUGCGGCGUGCGGUUCAAUUGAACUCAACACCGGGAAUCUCACCAGGACCGACAGCAGGAUGAAGGUCAGUCUGAAGGGCUUACCUGACAGGCUAAGAGGUGGUGCAUGGCCGUCGUCAGCUCGUGUCGUGAGAUGUCCUGUUAAGUCAGGCAACGAGCGAGACCUGUACCUAUAAUUGCCAGCGCAUGUUGAGCGGGCACAUUAUAGGAACUGCUCCGGAAACGGAGAGGAAGGUGCAGGCUACGGUAGGUCCGCAUGCCCCGAA